GAUGAACGCUGGCGGCGCGCCUAACACAUGCAAGUCGAACGGCACCCCACCUCGGUGGGAAGCGAGUGGCGAAYKGMUGAGUAACACGUGGAGAACCCGCCCCCUCCUCCGGGAUAGCCUCGGGAAACCGUGGGUAAUACCGGAUGACGCCCGGACGACGCAUGUCGCCCGGGCCAAAGCCCAGACGGGAGGGGAUGGCUCCGCGGCCCAUCAGGUAGACGGCGGGGUGAAGGCCCMCCGUGCCGACGACGGGUAGCCGGGUUGAGAGACCGACCGGCCAGAUUGGGAMUGAGACACGGCCCAGACUCSUACGGGAGGCAGCAGUGGGGAAUCUUGCGCAAUGGGGGGAACCCUGASGCAGSGACGCCGCGUGCGGGACGAAGGCCCUAGGGUCGUAAACCGCUUUCAGCAGGGAUGAGA
rnacentral:rRNA from 1 species